rnacentral:tRNA from 3 species
GUGGCGGUGGAAGAAGUCGAACCUCAUUCGCAUCGCGAAGGUCGAGGGUUCGAUCCCCUUCCGCUCCACCA